UUGAACGCUGGCGGCGUGCUUAACACAUGCAAGUCGAGCGAGAAAGUUCUCUUCGGAGAAUGAGUAGAGCGGCGCACGGGUGAGUAACGCGUGGGUAAUCUGCCCUGAAGAUCGGGAUAACAGUUGGAAACGACUGCUAAUACCGGAUAUCCUGCAUAUUUAACUUAUGUGGAAAAGAUGGCCUCUGUUUCAAGCUAUUGCUUCAGGAUGAGCCCGCGUCUCAUUAGAUAGUUGGUGGGGUAAUGGCCUACCAGUCACGAUGAGUAGCUGGUCUGAGAGGAUCGAUCAGCCACACUGGGACUGAAACACGGCCCAGACUCCUACGGGAGCAGCAGUGGGGAAUAUUGCGCAAGUGGGGGAAACCCUGACGCAGCGACGCCGCGUGCGGG
rnacentral:rRNA from 1 species